rnacentral:rRNA from 1 species
GACGAACGCUGGCGGCGUGCCUAAUACAUGCAAGUCGAACGCACUCUCGUUUAGAUUGAAGGAGCUUGCUCCUGAUUGAUAAACAUUUGAGUGAGUGGCGGACGGGUGAGUAACACGUGGGUAACCUGCCCUAAAGUGGGGGAUAACAUUUGGAAACAGAUGCUAAUACCGCAUAAAACCUAAACACCGCAUGGUGUAGGGUUGAAAGAUGGUUUCGGCUAUCACUUUAGGAUGGACCCGCGGUGCAUUAGUUAGUUGGUGAGGUAAAGGCUCACCAAGACCGUGAUGCAUAGCCGACCUGAGAGGGUAAUCGGCCACACUGGGACUGAGACACGGCCCAGACUCCUACGGGAGGCAGCAGUAGGGAAUCUUCCACAAUGGACGAAAGUCUGAUGGAGCAACGCCGCGUGAGUGAAGAAGGUUUCGGAUCGUAAAACUCUGUUGUUGGAGAAGAAUGUAUCUGAUAGUAACUGAUCAGGUAGUGACGGUAUCCAACCAGAAA